CAGUCGAGCGACGGACGAGAGUGCUUGCACUCUCUGAUGUUAGCGGCGGACGGGUGAGUAACACGUGGGUAACCUACCUAUAAGACUGGGAUAACUUCGGGAAACCGGAGCUAAUACCGGAUAAUAUUUAGCUUCGCAUGAAGCAAUAGUGAAAGACGGUUCUGCUGUCACUUAUAGAUGGACCCGCGGUGUAUUAGCUAGUUGGUGAGGUAACGGCUCACCAAGGCAACGAUACAUAGCCGACCUGAGAGGGUGAUCGGCCACACUGGGACUGAGACACGGCCCAGACUCCUACGGGAGGCAGCAGUAGGGAAUCUUCCGCAAUGGACGAAAGUCUGACGGAGCAACGCCGCGUGAGUGAAGAAGGUUUUCGGAUCGUAAAACUCUGUUGUAAGGGAAGAACAAGUACGUUAGUAACUGAACGUACCUUGACGGUACCUUACCAGAAAGCCACGGCUAACUACGUGCCAGCAGCCGCGGUAAUACGUAGGUGGCAAGCGUUAUCCGGAAUUAUUGGGCGUAAAGCGCGCGUAGGCGGUCUCUUAAGUCUGAUGUGAAAGCCCCCGGCUCAACCGGGGAGGGUCAUUGGAAACUGGGAGACUUGAGUGCAGAAGAGGAGAGUGGAAUUCCAUGUGUAGCGGUGAAAUGCGCAGAGAUAUGGAGGAACACCAGUGGCGAAGGCGGCUCUCUGGUCUGUAACUGACGCUGAGGUGCGAAAGCGUGGGGAUCAAACAGGAUUAGAUACCCUGGUAGUCCACGCCGUAAACGAUGAGUGCUAAGUGUUGGGGGGUUUCCGCCCC
rnacentral:rRNA from 1 species